rnacentral:rRNA from 1 species
CAAUAGCGUAUACUAAAGUUGUUGCAGUUAAAAAGCUCGUAGUUGAAUUUCUGGAUGCGAAAGAUGGUCGGCACCUCACGGUGUCUGUACUUUUCAUUCGCGUCCAUCCUCGGGAGGAACGUGUGGGGCUUUAAGUAGUUCUGCUCGGGAAUCUCGUCAUUUACUGUGAGCAAAAUAGAGUGUUCAAAGCAGGCUUAUGCCGUUGAAUAUAUUAGCAUGGAAUAAUAAGAUACGACUUUGGUCUAUUUUGUUGGUUUGCAUUCCAAAGUAAUGAUUAAUAGGGAUAGUUGGGGGUAUUCGUAUUCAAUUGUCAGAGGUGAAAUUCUUGGAUUUAUGGAAGACGAACUACUGCGAAAGCAUUUACCAAGGAUGUUUUCAUUAAUCAAGAACGAAAGUUAGGGGAUCGAAGAUGAUUAGAUACCAU